UACGGAGGGUGCAAGCGUUCUCCGGAUUCACUGGGUUUAAAGGGUGCGUAGGAGGGUAGGUAAGUCAGGGGUGAAAUCUUCGAGCUUAACUCGGAAACUGCCGUUGAUACUAUCUAUCUUGAAUACCGUGGAGGUGAGCGGAAUAUGUCAUGUAGCGGUGAAAUGCUUAGAUAUGACAUAGAACACCAAUUGCGAAGGCAGCUCGCUACACGAAUAUUGACUCUGAGGCACGAAAGCGUGGGGAUCAAACAGG
rnacentral:rRNA from 1 species